rnacentral:snRNA from 1 species
GCUCUCGGUUUGGCAGCACAAAUACUAAAAUUGGAACAAUACAGAGAUUAGCAUGGCUCCUGCGUGGGGUGACACAAAUUCAUGAAGUAUUCUAUAUAAAA